AUGGAGCUGAGGGUCACUCAGUACUACAUCUUUGUUAUAAUGUUAACCAAAGGUGUCAGCAGUGAUGAGAUCAGACUGGACCAGUCUCCUGCUGUGGUAAAGAGACCUGGAGAAACUGUGAAGAUCUCUUGUAAGAUACAUGGCUUUGAUAUGACAAGCUACUACAUGGAGUGGAUACGACAGAAACCAGGGAAAGCUCUGGAAUGGCUUGGCCAGAUGAAUGCUGGUAAUAAUCAAGCAAUAUAUGCAGAAUCUGUGAAGAACCAGCUCACCUUAACAGAAGACGUCUCAGCAAGCACACAGUACUUAGAGGCCAAGAGUCUGAGGACAGAGGACACUGCAGUUUAUUACUGCGCCCGAAGAGCCACAGUGACUGGAGCUGAGGAAGCAGCUGUACUAAAACCAGACUCACAUUGUAACUGAUCUAACUGAAGUUUGUUUGUAAUUCAUACACUGAUGAAAACAGUCUGCAUCUAUUUCCUGCUCUAAUUAUCCAUAGAUGUAUCUGGAUAUAACCCUAAAAUGGGUGUGGCUUAAUGUAGAAUUUUUUUCUCACUUCUACUGAACUAAAACGUUCUUUUCUUUAGAAUUCAAAACACAUGACCUAGAACCUUCUCAGCUACUUCUCUCUGGAUGCACCAGUUAAAGAUCCUUUCAGGUCGUUGUGUCAACCUUCUCUUUUUCUGUGUUUUAGAAUGGUUCAGUGUCAUUUAUUGUGAUGGGGAUAUUUAUCAGAAUCAUUCAUUUAAAGACAAGUUUGUCAUCUCUCGAGACACUGUGACCUUACGGGGACAGAACAUGCAGACUGAAGACACAGCUGUGUAUUACUGCACUCGUUACACACAGAGACACGACAAGCUGCAGUGCUGCACAAAAACCUCAUCACAAUUCACUUCUUUAAUUAAAUAAAAACUACAUUUUACCUAGUAACUAAUCCCCACAUUACAAAGCCUAAUGCUUAAAUGCUUAUUUAACCAAUAACUAAUACAAAAGUUUACUCACUGUAAAAAAUAAAAUGUUGAGAAAAAAUUAAAAAACAAGGCAACUUGCUGCAGUAAGACCUUUGAGUUGUCUUAACAACUAUUUUAUAGUUCUACGGAGUAACAAUACUUUGUUUAGCCAACCUAAAUUUCUUUUCUCAUGCAAUGUUGAUCGUCUUAUUUUGCUAAUAAAGACAUUUUUGUC